GGCGGGUCCCCUCGCAUGCGGGCGCCACGAAUCUGGUCAGGUCGGGAACGAAGCAGCCAUAGUGGAGUGCCAGCAGUGCCGAGGAUAAGGCUCGCCAUU
rnacentral:SRP_RNA from 1 species